rnacentral:rRNA from 1 species
CCUACGGGGCAGCAGUGGGGAAUAUUGGACAAUGGGCGAAAGCCUGAUCCAGCAAUGCCGCGUGAGUGAUGAAGGCCUUAGGGUUGUAAAGCUCUUUUACCAGGGAUGAUAAUGACAGUACCUGGAGAAUAAGCUCCGGCUAACUCCGUGCCAGCAGCCGCGGUAAUACGGAGGGAGCUAGCGUUGUUCGGAAUUACUGGGCGUAAAGCGUACGUAGGCGGUUAUUCAAGUCAGAGGUGAAAGCCUGGAGCUCAACUCCAGAACUGCCUUUGAAACUAGAUAGCUAGAAUCUUGGAGAGGUGAGUGGAAUUCCGAGUGUAGAGGUGAAAUUCGUAGAUAUUCGGAAGAACACCAGUGGCGAAGGCGACUCACUGGACAAGUAUUGACGCUGAGGUACGAAAGCGUGGGGAGCAAACAGGAUUAGAUACCCUGGUAGUCCACGCCGUAAACGAUGAUAACUAGCUGUUCGGGCUCUACGAGCUUGAGUGGCGCNGCUACGACAUAAGUUAUCCGCCGUCGGGAGGUACGGUCGCGAGAGUAAACUAACUAAGUAGUUAGUUAGUAGNGNGAGNGCGCGACGACGACGACGGAGGAGGAGG